rnacentral:rRNA from 1 species
GAGUUUGAUCCUGGCUCAGGAUGAACGCUAGCGGCAGGCUUAAUACAUGCAAGUCGUGGGGCAGCAGUCCCGCAGCAAUGCGGGAGCUGGCGACCGGCAAACGGGUGCGGAACACGUACACAACCUUCCUUUAAGUGGGGGAUAGCCCAGGGAAACUUGGAUUAAUACCCCGUAAUAUAUAGAAGCGGCAUCGCUUUUAUAUUAUAGCAGCAAUGCGCUUGAAGAUGGGUGUGCGGCUGAUUAGAUAGUUGGCGGGGUAACGGCCCACCAAGUCGACGAUCAGUAACUGGUGUGAGAGCACGACCAGUCACACGGGCACUGAGACACGGGCCCGACUCCUACGGGAGGCAGCAGUAAGGAAUAUUGGUCAAUGGACGCAAGUCUGAACCAGCCAUGCCGCGUGGAGGAUGAAGGUCCUCUGGAUUGUAAACUUCUUUUAUCUGGGAAGAAAUCCACUUUUUCUAGAGUGGUUGACGGUACCAGAUGAAUAAGCACCGGCUAACUCCGUGCCAGCAGCCGCGGUAAUACGGAGGGUGCAAGCGUUAUCCGGAUUCACUGGGUUUAAAGGGUGCGUAGGUGGGCAAGUAAGUCAGUGGUGAAAUCUCCGGGCUUAACCCGGAAACUGCCAUUGAUACUAUUUGUCUUGAAUACUGUGGAGGUCAGCGGAAUAUGUCAUGUAGCGGUGAAAUGCUUAGAUAUGACAUAGAACACCAAUUGCGAAAGGCAGCUGGCUACACAAAUAUUGACACUGAGGCACGAAAGCGUGGGGAUCAAACAGGAUUAGAUACCCUGGUAGUCCA